GGGCCUGACCUUAUCUUAGAAGCC
rnacentral:siRNA from 1 species